rnacentral:lncRNA from 1 species
GGGGCUUUUAAAUAUAGGGCUUAUUUGACAACUCUAGUCCAACAUAAGCAUACAUCAUUCAUAACAAACAUAUAUGUUGCAACUGAUCUAUUUUCCCUAACAAAAUAUUUUGGUUAAUCCUCAGCAGGUAAACCUACGAAAGUUUGUCUUCCAGUCCAUAUCCUCAAUAAACAAAUCCCUAAUAAUACACUUACCUUUAGGGGUGUGCAUGGAUCAUAAACCAAACCAAAUUGAACCAUAUAUAUGGUUCGGUUUGGUUCUUAAAACUAUUUUCAUAAAAUCAAUUUAUUUUUUCAAAAUCGGUUUAUAAGUGGAUCGGUUCG